rnacentral:lncRNA from 1 species
ACCCUAAAGCAGAGAAAGAUGCUUACAACGAGUGGAACUACAGCAAAUUCCGACUAUGGCAGCUCACUGAUUACGACAAGAUCAUCUUCAUCGACGCUGAUCUCUUAAUCCUGAGAAACAUCGACUUCUUGUUCUCGAUGCCUGAGAUCUCAGCGACAGGAAACAAUGGAACCCUAUUCAACUCGGGAGUUAUGGUGAUCGAGCCUUGCAACUGUACGUUUGAGCUUUUGAUGGAACAUAUAAAUGAG